AAUGAUGUAAUUUAAUUUCUUUUGGAAACAGUUAUUUUGUGUUUUUUGGUUAAGAUUAGGAUUUAUUAGGUGAAAUUUUAAAUUUUAAUAUUAAUCUGUUUAUUUUAUGAAGAUUCUGGGAAAUUCUUUUUUAAACUAGGAUUAGAUACCCUAUUAUUUAGAAUGUAAAUUUUAAAUUCCAGAUUAGUAUUAGUUAUGUUCUUGAAAAUUAAAGAUUUUGGCGGUAUUUUAUUCUACUCAGAGGAACCUGUCCUGUAAUCGAUAGUCCACGAUAAAUUCUACUUUUUCUUAGUUUGCAUAUCGUCGUAGUUUGAAUAUUUUAAAAGAAUUAAAAUAUUCAUGAUUUUUAUUAGAAAGGAAAUCAGAUCAAGGUGUAGCGUAUGGGAAAGUUAGUGAUGGGUUACAUUUUUAAAAUUAAGGGGAUUGUUUUUUGAAAUGAAAACAUGAAUUCGGAUUUGAUUGUAAUUUUAAUUAUUUUAUUAAGAUGAAAAUAGCUCUAAAAUAUGCACAUAUCGCCCGUCGCUUUCACUUUAAAGUGAAAUAAGUCGUAACAAAGUAGGCUUACUGGAAAGUGGGCCUAGAAAGGCAGGUUAGAGCUUGAUAUAAAGCAUUUUACUUACACUAAAAAGUUAGUUGUGAAAUUCAACUUGACUUGAAUUUAAUAAAUUAAUUUUUUUAUUUAUUAUUUUUUGUUAAAAUUAGAAUUUUGAUUUUUAUUAUUUUGAAAAAAUUGAUUUUAUUUAUAGUUAAUUUGUACUGUGAAGGAUUUUUGUUAAAUGAUAAUAAGAAGAAUUAAUUUUUU
rnacentral:rRNA from 1 species